rnacentral:lncRNA from 1 species
UCAUUUCUUAAUUCGUGAACUGUAUCUUUUCUGUUUUGGUCUUGAUCUAAGAAAAAUCAUCCCAUCUCGUUGACCUCUGCAACAAACCAAUCUUUGUUUCACUGAUUUUCUCUUUUGCUUAAUGCCCCAUACUUUAAAGAAAUCUUUGACAAUUUAACUAUUUCUGUGUGGACAUCUAUAUCAUAUAACUGACUGGAAAAGGCAAGGAAGGUACAGAAGAAUAAUAUUCAAGUCCUUGAAGGGCUGAAUUAAAGAAAUGACCAGAUUCUUCUACUCACCUAAAGGUGAAACACCUAUCAGUGGAGUAUACAAGGCACAGAGAAACAAACAUGAGCAUGAUUGCCCCCUAUUCUGUAACACACACUGUAGACUCUGACAGAUUUGGGUCCAGAUGCUAACCUAGAUACUCUGCUACCUGUAUGUAUAUAGUUAUAUUUUACACAUAUUUCUUUUGAUUUCCCUAAAAGCAAUGAUAAACUUUUUACAUAAAUCAGAUAAAAAUGGAGCUGAACAAACCAUCAUCAUGCGGACAUCCAUGAAAGGACUGAAGUUAUGAGAGGAUUGUGGUUACCAAACCUGAGGUGAUCUUCAAGUUGGAGCAGAGAACACAGCCAUGGAUGCUAGGAGAAGCCCUAAAUCAGAGACUUCCAGUUCUUUUUCAGAACACGUAUGGAGAGGAGUCUUGGGGACUAAGUCUAAACAUGAACAAGGCCAUGGACAGCCUUCAAGGACAAAAAGAGAGGGAUGCUCCCUAGCUACACAUGAACUUUCUCUGAAUCUUGGCUUUAUAAUUUUAAUUAAAAUAUACUAAUGGAGACAAGUUUGAAUAAAAAUGAUUCAUAUAUAAUCUGUAUUUGUAUC